UCUUGCUUUUCAAAGGAGAAUUAUCUAUUCCCUGAUUGUCCUUUGCCUUGCUAUCCCUUCCUGUUCCUGUACUUCCUCAAACUCCGCCCCCUGAUAUCCAAUCCGUUUUUCGGGGCUGAGGCUUUGUUUUCCUCCCUGGUUCUGUCCGCCGGGGUAGUUGUGGUGUGGCAGACAGUUGGUUGUUGUUGAGUUGAGCUGUGGAGGAUAGCCGUAUCCAUCCACCACUAUUGUACUUUGCCGCUUCACCCAUCCCUCUCCGCCAUCUUGGAAUCCACACAAAUACGCCCCAGCAACCUUGCCUCCGGUGAAUUGACUGGGCUGCUACUGCCUGUUGCCGCUGCCUGGCAACCUCAACCAAUUCACCAUCACAACGAGUCCCGAUUGGGACAGCGCAGGGAAGGUUGUUGUUUAUCGUCUGCAACACAACACAACACAACACAACACAACACUGCCCUCCCUUCCUCAUCCCCAUGCCCGUCGUCUUUGCUACUCUCUCAACUACUCUACUCACAGCCGAGCUUCUCUUGUACCUCUACAACUUCUGCUGCGAGAUCUGUCAAACGGCC
rnacentral:sRNA from 1 species